rnacentral:rRNA from 1 species
ACUCUGAUGCAGCGAUGCCGCGUGAGUGAAGAAGGCCCUUGGGUUGUAAAGCUCUUUCUUCGGGGAAGAAAAUGACUGUACCCGAAUAAGAAGGUCCGGCUAACUUCGUGCCAGCAGCCGCGGUAAUACGAAGGGACCUAGCGUAGUUCGGAAUUACUGGGCUUAAAGAGUUCGUAGGUGGUUGAAAAAGUUAGUGGUGAAAUCCCAGAGCUUAACUCUGGAACUGCCAUUAAAACUUUUCAGCUAGAGUAUGAUAGAGGAAAGCAGAAUUUCUAGUGUAGAGGUGAAAUUCGUAGAUAUUAGAAAGAAUACCAAUUGCGAAGGCAGCUUUCUGGAUCAUUACUGACACUGAGGAACGAAAGCAUGGGUAGCGAAGAGGAUUAGAUACCCUCGUAGUCCAUGCCGUAAACGAUGUGUGUUAGACGUUGGAAAUUUAUUUUCAGUGUCGCAGCGAAAGCGAUAAACACACCGCCUGG